rnacentral:rRNA from 1 species
GACGAACGCUGGCGGCGCGCUUAACACAUGCAAGUCGAGCGAGAACCCAGGCUUCGGCCUGGGGGAAAGCGGCGAACGGGUGAGUAUCACGUGGGUAAUCUGCCCUCGGCAUCGGGAUAGCCCGGGGAAACCCGGAUUAAUACCGAAUGGCCCAUCCGCUCUUCGGAGCGGCUGGAAAAGGUAGCUUCGGCCUCCGGCCGAGGAGGAGCCCGCGGCGGAUUAGCUUGUUGGUGGGGUAACGGCUCACCAAGGCAUCGAUCCGUAGCGGGUCUGAGAGGACGACCCGCCACACUGGAACUGAGACACGGUCCAGACUCCUACGGGAGGCAGCAGUGGGGAAUUUUGGACAAUGGGCGCAAGCCUGAUCCAGCCAUUCCGCGUGAGUGAAGAAGGCCUUCGGGUUGUAAAGCUCUUUCGGCAGGGAAGAAACGGUGUGGGCUAAUACCCUGCAUUAAUGACGGUACCUGAAGAAGAAGCACCGGCUAACUACGUGCCAGCCGCCGCAGUAACAC